rnacentral:rRNA from 1 species
UACGGGGGGGGCAAGCGUUGUUCGGAAUUACUGGGCGUAAAGGGCUCGUAGGCGGCCAACUAAGUCAGACGUGAAAUCCCUCGGCUUAACCGGGGAACUGCGUCUGAUACUGGUUGGCUUGAGUGUGGGAGAGGGAUGCGGAAUUCCAGGUGUAGCGGUGAAAUGCGUAGAUAUCUGGAGGAACACCGGUGGCGAAGGCGGCAUCCUGGACCAUUACUGACGCUGAGGAGCGAAAGCGUGGGGAGCGAACAGG